CCCUUAGAUGUCCUGGGCUGCACGCGCGCUACACUGAUGUGUCCAGUAAGCACCUAACCUCUUCCGAAAGGAACGGGUAACCUUUGCAAAGCACAUCGUGAUGGGGAUAGAUUAUUGCAAUUAUUAGUCUUGAACGAGGAAUUCCUAGUAAGCACAAGUCAUCAGCUUGUGUUGAUUACGUCCCUGCCCUUUGUACACACCGCCCGUCGCUCCUACCGAUUGAAUGUUCCGGUGAGCUCUUCGGACUGCGCGGUCUGCAGUUUCUGCGUUCCGUGCGGAAAGUUGCGCAAACCUUAACAUUGAGAGGAAGGAGAAGGCGGAACA
rnacentral:rRNA from 1 species